AUGGUCGCCGCCGCCGGCGAACAGCUGGAAGAAAUCAACGUGUGCUCAUACUCCUUCACCUCCGUCGAGCGAGCACCGCACAAGUGCCGCAACAGAGCGGCGAAGAAGACCACAGCAAUGAAGACGGUGAUGAAAAUCGUGGUUGCACUAGCAUCGAUGGAGCUGAUAUACGCCAUGCAAAUGGAAUGGAGGACGAUAAGGCGAGGACGUACGGUAGGUGCCCAGCUUCACCAACUGGGGCUAGUUAGUGCAUAUGAUUGUACUGUGAUUAUGAGCUACUUAUGGAAUGUGUGGCGAUGUUUCCAAGACGUGGUACGGUCGAAGCGACAAAGAAAUGGCUUUGGUCUCUCCGUUUCUUGUCAGCAGAUAGCAAAGUUGAUCAUACAUUCGAUUUUUUAA
rnacentral:rRNA from 1 species